UACGUAGGGGGCUAGCGUUGUCCGGAAUCAUUGGGCGUAAAGCGCGUGUAGGCGGUCCGGUAAGUCCGCUGUGAAAGUCGGGGGCUCAACCCUCGGAUGCCGGUGGAUACUGUCGGGCUUGAGUACGGAAGAGGCGAGUGGAAUUCCUGGUGUAGCGGUGAAAUGCGCAGAUAUCAGGAGGAACACCAAUUGCUAAGGCAGCUCGCUGGGACGUUACUGACGCUGAGACGCGAAAGCGUGGGGAGCAAGCAGG
rnacentral:rRNA from 1 species